UGGGGAAUAUUGCACAAUGGGCGCAAGCCUGAUGCAGCCAUGCCGCGUGUGUGAAGAAGGCCUUCGGGUUGUAAAGCACUUUCAGCGGGGAGGAAGGCGUUAAGGUUAAUAACCUUGGCGAUUGACGUUACCCGCAGAAGAAGCACCGGCUAACUCCGUGCCAGCAGCCGCGGUAAUACGGAGGGUGCAAGCGUUAAUCGGAAUUACUGGGCGUAAAGCGCACGCAGGCGGUCUGUCAAGUCGGAUGUGAAAUCCCCGGGCUUAACCUGGGAACUGCAUUCGAAACUGGCAGGCUAGAGUCUUGUAGAGGGGGGUAGAAUUCCAGGUGUGGCGGUGAAAUGCGUAGGGAUCUGGAGGAAUACCGGUGGCGAAGGCGGCCCCCUGGACAAAGACUGACGCUCAGGUGCGAAAGCGUGGGGAGCAAACAGG
rnacentral:rRNA from 1 species